rnacentral:rRNA from 1 species
CGGUGAAGGUCAGCUUGCUGACCGGAUCAGUGGCGAACGGGUGAGUAACACGUGAGCAACCUGCCCCCUACUCUGGGAUAAGCCUUGGAAACGAGGUCUAAUACCGGAUACGAGGCGCCCGGGCAUCUGGAGCGUCUGGAAAGAUUUAUCGGUGGGGGAUGGGCUCGCGGCCUAUCAGCUUGUUGGUGGGGUGAUGGCCUACCAAGGCGACGACGGGUAGCCGGCCUGAGAGGGCGACCGGCCACACUGGGACUGAGACACGGCCCAGACUCCUACGGGAGGCAGCAGUGGGGAAUAUUGCACAAUGGGCGCAAGCCUGAUGCAGCGACGCCGCGUGAGGGAUGACGGCCUUCGGGUUGUAAACCUCUUUCAGCAGGGAAGAAGCGCAAGUGACGGUACCUGCAGAAGAAGCGCCGGCUAACUACGUGCCAGCAGCCGCGGUAAUACGUAGGGCGCAAGCGUUGUCCGGAAUUAUUGGGCGUAAAGAGCUCGUAGGCGGUCUGUCGCGUCUGCUGUGAAAACCUCAGGCUCAACCUGGGGCUUGCAGUGGGUACGGGCAGACUAGAGUGCGGUAGGGGUGACUGGAAUUCCUGGUGUAGCGGUGGAAUGCGCAGAUAUCAGGAGGAACACCGAUGGCGAAGGCAGGUCACUGGGCCGCAACUGACGCUGAGGAGCGAAAGCAUGGGGAGCGAACAGGAUUAGAUACCCUGGUAGUCCAUGCCGUAAACGUUGGGCACUAGGUGUGGGGUCCAUUCCACGGAUUCCGUGCCGCAGCAAACGCAUUAAGUGCCCCGCCUGGGGAGUAC